rnacentral:rRNA from 1 species
GUUAUAUGGUCAAGUGAAGAAGCGCAUACGGUGGAUGCCUUGGCAGUCAGAGGCGAUGAAAGACGUGGUAGCCUGCGAAAAGCUUCGGGGAGUCGGCAAACAGACUUUGAUCCGGAGAUGUCUGAAUGGGGGAACCCAGCCAUCAUAAGAUGGUUACCUUACACUGAAUACAUAGGUGUAAGGGGCGAACCAGGGGAACUGAAACAUCUAAGUACCCUGAGGAAAAGAAAUCAACCGAGAUUCCCUUAGUAGUGGCGAGCGAACGGGGACUAGCCCUUAAGUGGCUUUGAGAUUAGCGGAACGCUCUGGAAAGUGCGGCCAUAGUGGGUGAUAGCCCUGUACGCGAAAAUCUCUUAGUCAUGAAAUCGAGUAGGACGGAGCACGAGAAACUUUGUCUGAAUAUGGGGGGACCAUCCUCCAAGGCUAAAUACUACUGACUGACCGAUAGUGAACUAGUACCGUGAGGGAAAGGCGAAAAGAACCCCGGAGAGGGGAGUGAAAUAGAUCCUGAAACCGUAUGCGUACAAGCAGUGGGAGCCCACUUUGUUGGGUGACUGCGUACCUUUUGUAUAAUGGGUCAGCGACUUAUUUUCAGUGGCGAGCUUAACCGAAUAGGGGAGGCGUAGCGAAAGCGAGUCUUAAUAGGGCGUCUAGUCGCUGGGAAUAGACCCGAAACCGGGCGAUCUAUCCAUGGGCAGGUUGAAGGUUGGGUAACACUAACUGGAGGACCGAACCGACUACCGUUGAAAAGUUAGCGGAUGACCUGUGGAUCGGAGUGAAAGGCUAAUCAAGCUCGGAGAUAGCUGGUUCUCCUCGAAAGCUAUUUAGGUAGCGCCUCAUGUAUCACUGUAGGGGGUAGAGCACUGUUUCGGCUAGGGGGUCAUCCCGACUUACCAAACCGAUGCAAACUCCGAAUACCUACAAGUGCCGAGCAU